rnacentral:rRNA from 1 species
GAUGAACGCUGGCGGCGUGCCUAAUACAUGCAAGUCGAGCGAACGAACGAGAAGCUUGCUUCUCUGAUGUUAGCGGCGGACGGGUGAGUAACACGUGGAUAACCUACCUAUAAGACUGGGAUAACUUCGGGAAACCGGAGCUAAUACCGGAUGAUAUUUUGAACCGCAUGGUUCAAAAGUGAAAGACGGUCUUGCUGUCACUUAUAGAUGGAUCCGCGCUGCAUUAGCUAGUUGGUAAGGUAACGGCUUACCAAGGAAACGAUGCAUAGCCGACCUGAGAGGGUGAUCGGCCACACUGGAACUGAGACACGGUCCAGACUCCUACGGGAGGCAGCAGUAGGGAAUCUUCCGCAAUGGGCGAAAGCCUGACGGAGCAACGCCGCGUGAGUGAUGAAGGUCUUCGGAUCGUAAAACUCUGUUAUUAGGGAAGAACAUAUGUGUAAGUAACUGUGCACAUCUUGACGGUACCUAAUCAGAAAGCCACGGCUAACUACGUG